AUUGAACGCUGGCGGCAUGCCUUACACAUGCAAGUCGAACGGCAGCACGGGAGCAAUCCUGGUGGCGAGCGGCGAACGGGUGAGUAAUAUAUCGGAACGUGCCCAGUCGUGGGGGAUAACGCAGCGAAAGCUGUGCUAAUACCGCAUACGAUCUAAGGAUGAAAGCGGGGGAUCGCAAGACCUCGCGCGAUUGGAGCGGCCGAUAUCAGAUUAGCUAGUUGGUGGGGUAAAGGCCCACCAAGGCGACGAUCUGUAGCUGGUCGGAGAGGACGACCAGCCACACUGGAACUGAGACACGGUCCAGACUCCUACGGGAGGCAGCAGUGGGGAAUUUUGGACAAUGGGCGCAAGCCUGAUCCAGCAAUGCCGCGUGCAGGAUGAAGGCCUUCGGGUUGUAAACUGCUUUUGUACGGAACGAAACGGCCCUUUCUAAUACAGGGGGCUAAUGACGGUACCGUAAGAAUAAGCACCGGCUAACUACGUGCCAGCCGCCGCCGUAA
rnacentral:rRNA from 1 species